CAGUCGCCGCGGGAAUACAGAGGGUGCGAGCGUUAAUCGGAUUUAAUGGGCGUAAAGCGUGCGUAGGCGGCUUUUUAAGUCGGAUGUGAAAUCCCUGAGCUUAACUUAGGAAUUGCAUUCGAUACUGGGAAGCUAGAGUAUGGGAGAGGAUGGUGGAAUUCCAGGUGUAGCGGUGAAAUGCGUAGAGAUCUGGAGGAAUACCGAUGGCGAAGGCAGCCAUCUGGCCUAAUACUGACGCUGAGGUACGAAAGCAUGGGGAGCAAACAGGAUUAGAUACCCCGGUAGUCCCUGUCUCUUAUAC
rnacentral:rRNA from 1 species